CAUAUGUACAUAUAUGAAGAUUAUAAAUGCCGAGCUGGAAUAUACACAAGGGGCCAUGGAAGGCUGAAUGUUCCAGCAGGACUGACAGGUCUCUUCAUUCUUGGGCAAUUUGAAAUCAGGACCAUUUACCCUGCUUCCCCUCUGCAGAGUCUCCUGGUGCCUGUCUCCCUCUCUUCUGGCCUCACAAGGCCCUGGGGAGAAGUUCCACCUGCAGCUUGCCUGCCCUUGCGAGAAUCUUACUGUCUUUCUCCCCAGCGAGGCCGUGAACGCUCUGCUCACAGAAAGGGUGGCUGUCCACUAUUUUCCUCUACUUUGCAGACAGCCCUGCACAAGUGAGGUGCUCAAGGAGUGUGCAAAGGUUUGUGGGUUGAUUUUUCUUCACUUCAUGCUAGGUUACUUUCAGUGUUUGGGGAAACCAAGCACAUUGCUUGAAGAGGAUUUUGCUUGAAGGUGAUUUUGAAGUGACCUUCAAAGGUCCAACUUUAAUAAGAAUAAAUAAGGAAAGCUGAAGGAGAAA